rnacentral:rRNA from 1 species
GCCCUUAGAGUUUGAUCCUGGCUCAGAUUGAACGCUGGCGGUAUGCUUAAGACAUGCAAGUCGGACGGGUGUAGAAAUACAUUAGUGGCGGACGGGUGAGUAACGCGUGAGAAUCUACCUUCAGGACGGAGACAACAGUGGGAAACGACUGCUAAGCCCCGAUGUACCGAAAGGGAAAAUAUUUAUAGCCUGAAGAAGAGCUCGCGUCCGAUUAGCUAGUUGGAGAGGUAACAGCUCACCAAGGCGACGAUCGGUAGCUGGUCUGAGAGGACGAUCAGCCACACUGGGACUGAGACACGGCCCAGACUCCUACGGGAGGCAGCAGUGGGGAAUUUACCGCAAUGGGCGAAAGCCUGACGGAGCAAGACCGCGUGGGGGAAGAAGGCUCUUGGGUUGUAAACUCCUUUUCUCUGGGAAGAACAAAAUGACGGUACCAGAGGAAUCAGCAUCGGCUAACUCCGUGCCAGCAGCCGCGGUAAGACGGAGGAUGCAAGCGUUAUCCGGAAUGAUUGGGCGUAAAGCGUCCGCAGGUGGCAGUUCAAGUCUGCUGUCAAAGACCGGGGCUUAACCUCGGAAAGGCAGUGGAAACUGAACAGCUAGAGUAUGGUAGGGGCAAAGGGAAUUCCUGGUGUAGCGGUGAAAUGCGUAGAGAUCAGGAAGAACAUCGGUGGCGAAGGCGCUUUGCUGGACCAUAACUGACACUCAGGGACGAAAGCUAGGGGAGCGAAUGGGAUUAGAUACCCCAGUAGUCCUAGCCGUAAACGAUGGAUACUAGGUGUUGUCUGUAUCGACCCGGACAGUGCCGUAGCUAACGCGUUAAGUAUCCCGCCUGGGGAGUACGCAGGCAACUGUGAAACUCAAAGGAAUUGACGGGGGCCCGCACAAGCGGUGGAGUAUGUGGUUUAACUCGAUGAUACGCGAGGAACCUUACCAGGGCUUAAAUGGGAAUUGACAGGCGUAGAGAUAUGCUUUUCUUCGGACAAUUUUCAAGGUGCUGCAUGGUUGUCGUCAGCUCGUGCCGUGAGGUGUCAGGUUAAGUCCUAUAACGAGCGUAACCCCUGUCGUUAGUUGCCAGCGAGUGAUGUCGGGAACUCUAACGAGACUGCCGGUGCAAACUGUGAGGAAGGUGGGGAUGACGUCAAAUCAUCACGGCCCUUACGUCCUGGGCUACACACGUGCUACAAUGGGCGGUACAGAGAGCAGCCACUGCGCGAGCAGGAGCCAAUCUAUAAAGCCGUUCACAGUUCGGAUCGGAGUCUGCAACUCGACUCCGUGAAGCUGGAUUCGCUAGUAAUCGCAGAUCAGCCAUGCUGCGGUGAAUACGCUCCCGGGCCUUGUACACACCGCCCGUCAAGCCAUGGAAGCUGGGGGUACCUGAAGUCGGUGACCGCAAGGAGCUGCCUAGGGUAAAACUGGUAACUAGGGCUAAGUCGUAACAAGGUAACCAAGGG